rnacentral:rRNA from 1 species
UGGGGAAUAUUGCACAAUGGGCGCAAGCCUGAUGCAGCCAUGCCGCGUGUGUGAAGAAGGCCUUCGGGUUGUAAAGCACUUUCAGCGGGGAGGAAGGCGAUAAGGUUAAUAACCUUGUCGAUUGACGUUACCCGCAGAAGAAGCACCGGCUAACUCCGUGCCAGCAGCCGCGGUAAUACGGAGGGUGCAAGCGUUAAUCGGAAUUACUGGGCGUAAAGCGCACGCAGGCGGUCUGUCAAGUCGGAUGUGAAAUCCCCGGGCUCAACCUGGGAACUGCAUUCGAAACUGGCAGGCUAGAGUCUUGUAGAGGGGGGUAGAAUUCCAGGUGUAGCGGUGAAAUGCGUAGAGAUCUGGAGGAAUACCGGUGGCGAAGGCGGCCCCCUGGACAAAGACUGACGCCCAGGUGCGAAAGCGUGGGGAGCAAACAGG